GAUGAACGCUGGCGGCGUGCCUAAUACAUGCAAGUCGAGCGAACAGACGAGGAGCUUGCUCCUCUGACGUUAGCGGCGGACGGGUGAGUAACACGUGGAUAACCUACCUAUAAGACUGGGAUAACUUCGGGAAACCGGAGCUAAUACCGGAUAACAUGUUGAACCGCAUGGUUCAACAGUGAAAGACGGUCUUGCUGUCACUUAUAGAUGGAUCCGCGCCGCAUUAGCUAGUUGGUAAGGUAACGGCUUACCAAGGCAACGAUGCGUAGCCGACCUGAGAGGGUGAUCGGCCACACUGGAACUAAGACACGGUCCAGACUCCUACGGGAGGCAGCAGUAGGGAAUAUUCCGCAAUGGGCGAAAGCCUGACGGAGCAACGCCGCGUGAGUGAAGAAGGUCUUCGGAUCGUAAAACUCUGUUAUUAGGGAAGAACAAAUGUGUAAGUAACUAUGCACGUCUUGACGGUACCUAAUCAGAAAGCCACGGCUAACUACGUG
rnacentral:rRNA from 1 species